rnacentral:rRNA from 1 species
UACGAAGGGGGCUAGCGUUGCUCGGAAUCACUGGGCGUAAAGCGCACGUAGGCGGAUCUUUAAGUCAGGGGUGAAAUCCUGGAGCUCAACUCCAGAACUGCCCUUGAUACUGAAGAUCUUGAGUUCGGGAGAGGUGAGUGGAACUGCGAGUGUAGAGGUGAAAUUCGUAGAUAUUCGCAAGAACACCAGUGGCGAAGGCGGCUCACUGGCCCGAUACUGACGCUGAGGCACGAAAGCGUGGGGAGCAAACAGG